GACGAACGCUGGCGGCGUGCUUAACACAUGCAAGUCGAACGGUGAAGGAGAGCUUGCUCUCCGGAUCAGUGGCGAACGGGUGAGUAACACGUGGGCAACCUGCCCCAGACUUCGGGAUAACGCUUCGAAAGAGGUGCUAAUACCGGAUACGAACUCCUUGGGCAUCCUUGGAGUUGGAAAGUUUUUCGGUCUGGGAUGGGCCCGCGGCCUAUCAGCUUGUUGGUGAGGUAACGGCCCACCAAGGCGACGACGGGUAGCCGGCCUGAGAGGGCGACCGGCCACACUGGGACUGAGACACGGCCCAGACUCCUACGGGAGGCAGCAGUGGGGAAUAUUGCGCAAUGGGCGAAAGCCUGACGCAGCAACGCCACGUGAGGGAUGACGGCCUUCGGGUUGUAAACCUCUUUCAGCAGGGAAGAAGCGAAAGUGUCGGUACCUGAUGAGCAAGUCCCGGCUAACUACGUGCCAGCCGCCGCCGUAAAAC
rnacentral:rRNA from 1 species